AGAAUCAACGCUGGCGGCGUGCCUAACACAUGCAAGUCGCACGAGAAAGAGACUUCGGUCCUGAGUACAGUGGCGCACGGGUGAGUAACACGUGAAUAAUCUACCUCCGAGUGGGGAAUAACUGAGAGAAAUCUUAGCUAAUACCGCAUAACACUUACGAGUCAAAGCAGCAAUGCGCUUGGAGAGGAGUUCGCGGCAGAUUAGUUAGUUGGCGGGGUAAUGGCCCACCAAGACGAUGAUCUGUA
rnacentral:rRNA from 1 species